rnacentral:rRNA from 1 species
AACGAACGCUGGCGGCAUGCCUAACACAUGCAAGUCGAACGAGAUCUUCGGGUCUAGUGGCGCACGGGUGCGUAACGCGUGGGAAUCUGCCCUUUGGUUCGGAAUAACAGUUGGAAACGACUGCUAAUACCGGAUGAUGACGAAAGUCCAAAGAUUUAUCGCCAGAGGAUGAGCCCGCGUAGGAUUAGCGAGUUGGUGUGGUAAAGGCGCACCAAGGCGACGAUCCUUAGCUGGACUGAGAGGAUGAUCAGCCACACUGGGACUAGGUCACGGCCCAGACUCCUACGGGAGGCAGCAGUGGGGAAUAUUGGACAAUGGGCGAAAGCCUGAUCCAGCACUGCCGCGUGAUGGAUGAAGGCCUUAGGGUUGUAAAGCUCUUUUACCCGGGAUGAUAAUGACAGUACCGGGAGAAUAAGCUCCGGCUAACUCCGUGCCAGCCGCCGCCGUAA